UCUUCUUAUGUUUGCUGCAGAUUAAUUCACUAUCUCAGCGCUGUUCCCACAGAAACACACAGAUCCGUACAACCAAGACACAUGUAGAGGCGAGGACACGUCAACCGUCUCCUGAGAAGCUAAUUGUGGUUGCAUUUGAGUGUCUAUAUGAUUCAAACAAGUUAAACGUUACCAUGAGCCAGAUGUGAGUGUUUUCAUGCACUGGACUGCCAUAAGAAUGUCAGCAAAAUCAGUUCAUUAGCAUUAGAGUUGAAAACAUAUUAAAAGGUUUGCCAUUAUGUUUGCAUCAAUGUCACUCCAAUUAUUUUUCUUCCUGGCUGAAGAAACUCAUAGAUGAAAUUUCCCAGCUGAGAUCAAGACAAAUCACUCCUCAUUAGCAGAUCUCAUGUGUUUACUAAGCAGUCAGUAUUAGAGUGAAAGAAAAAGACCUGGUUUUAAAAACAAAACAUUCAACUAUUUUCUGAAAUGUAGAUGAAAUAAUUAGUGUCUAUAGUGAGUGAGAAUAUCUUCGAAAGGUAGAUACUCAUCUGAAGAGCCAACAGAACUCUGAGUCUUAACUAGUGGAGAAGACAUGUUCAGCAUGGAGCUACAAAAAUAAUUAUUCCUUUAAUCCUAAGAAAUUAAUAAAGCUUGAUGGAUUAUGAGAUUCUGUCCCAAUGGAUGUAGACCAGUUGACAAUAUUGUUGACACUUCAAAGACCUCUAUCAAGGCAGGGUCACUGAAACUGCAUCAUUUGUUGUUGCAUUUUGGCUCCAUGUACUCAGUUCCAAAAGGUACAAACUUGUAGCAUUUUCUGUGCUACCCAUUGCAGAUAAGAAAGAAAAAAAUAUGCUUCCCACUACUUCCUCUCAAUCAUUUAUUUCUCCCUCAGUUCUCCUCUUUCACUGAAUUUGAAAGGAGUAGAAGAAAUUGUGUAAAUAUCGUUCAGCUCAGCCACUGAACCCUUAAGAAGUGCAGAACCCAGUCUGACCUCAGAGUUGUCUCUGCUUUGGGCAGAAGGUCAGACUAGUGGACUCCUGGAGUCCAUUUCCACCUGAAUUUUCCUAUGAUCUUGUAUUCUAAAAAUUCUGCCAGCAAUUAAAGACUCUAAGGAGAGCUGUGAGUGCUUAGAAUCUUACAUACAAAAUCUUUGUCUUCUUGC